AGACCAUGGUGGGGGCAUCUUUCUACCAGCAAUUUAAAUCGCUCCCAAGCUUUAUGAAAACUUUCUCCUUCCAUCUGUUUAAAAUUCGCGAUCUCUCAUCUUAGUUG
rfam:Gossypium arboreum cultivar AKA8401 contig_6512_5, whole genome shotgun sequence.